rnacentral:ncRNA from 4 species
AAUCCGCUACAAUAAUAUAGUCGUAUAAGUUCGGUAAUAUGGACCGUUCGUUUCUACCAGGCAACCGUAAAAUGCCAGGCUACGAGCUAUUGUAAAAUUUAAU